UACGUAGGGGGCAAGCGUUGUCCGGAAUCAUUGGGCGUAAAGCGCGUGUAGGCGGCUUCGUAAGUCCGUUGUGAAAGUCCAGGGCUCAACCCUGGAAUGCCGAUGGAUACUGCGGAGCUAGAGUCCGGAAGAGGCGAGUGGAAUUCCUGGUGUAGCGGUGAAAUGCGCAGAUAUCAGGAGGAACACCAAUGGCGAAGGCAGCUCGCUGGGACGGUACUGACGCUGAGACACGAAAGCCAGGGGAGCAAACGGG
rnacentral:rRNA from 1 species